rnacentral:rRNA from 1 species
GACGAACGCUGGCGGCGUGCUUAACACAUGCAAGUCGAACGGAAAGGCCCUGCUUUUGUGGGGUGCUCGAGUGGCGAACGGGUGAGUAACACGUGAGUAACCUGCCCUUGACUUUGGGAUAACUUCAGGAAACUGGGGCUAAUACCGGAUAGGAGCUCCUGCUGCAUGGUGGGGGUUGGAAAGUUUCGGCGGUUGGGGAUGGACUCGCGGCUUAUCAGCUUGUUGGUGGGGUAGUGGCUUACCAAGGCUUUGACGGGUAGCCGGCCUGAGAGGGUGACCGGGCAGAGGGGGGCAGAGAUGCGCAGCGGGCGACGCCGUGAGGCAGCAGUGGGGGAUGUGGGAGAAUGGGCGGAGGCAUGAGGCAGCAUCGCGGCGGGGGGGAUGAAGGAGUUGUGGUUGGAGGCAAAGUUGGCCUGUGAAGAAGCGUGAGAGAAGGUGGUGGGUAAAGAAGGACCGGAUAACUACGUC